UUAAUCAGUUAUCGUUUAUUUGAUAGUACCCUGCUACUUGGAUACCUGUGGUAAUUCUAGAGCUAAUACAUGCUAAAAACCUCGACUUCGGGAGGGGUGUAUUUAUUAGAUAAAAAACCAAUGCCCUCCGGGGCUCCUUGGUGAUUCAUAAUAACUCAACGAAUCGCAUGGCCUUGCGCCGGCGAUGGUUCAUUCAAAUUUCUGCCCUAUCAACUUUCGAUGGUAGGAUAGUGGCCUACCAUGGUUUCUACGGGUAACGGGGAAUUAGGGUUCGAUUCCGGAGAGGGAGCCUGAGAAACGGCUACCACAUCCAAGGAAGGCAGCAGGCGCGCAAAUUACCCAAUCCCGACACGGGGAGGUAGUGACAAUAAAUACUGAUACAGGGCUCUUUCGGGUCUUGUAAUUGGAAUGAGUACAAUUUAAAUCCCUUAACGAGGAACAAUUGGAGGGCAAGUCUGGUGCCAGCAGCCGCGGUAAUACCAGCUCCAAUAGCGUAUAUUAAAGUUGUUGCAGUUAAAAAGCUCGUAGUUGAAACUUGGGCCUGGCUGGCCGGUCCGCCUCACCGCGUGCACUGGUCCGGCCGGGCCUUUCCUUCUGGGGAGCCGCAUGCCCUUUAUUGGGUGUGUCGGGGAACCAGGACUUUUACUUUGAAAAAAUUAGAGUGUUCAAAGCAGGCCUAUGCUCGGAUACAUUAGCAUGGAAUAAUGGAAUAGGACGUGUGGUUCUAUUUUGUUGGUUUCUAGGACCGCCGUAAU
rnacentral:rRNA from 1 species